GAGAUUAUCACCACAGCAGGAGGGAGGGCUGUUUCCUGAGCCAGCAGGGAGCUCUGAAGGCGGAGGACACUGUGUUCUGAGACCUCUCCACCGAGCGGAGGACUCGAUGUUGAAGACCUAAUCUGACGUGCGACUCUGUUUGAGAAGGGGACUUUAAGGAGGUAAUUAAGGGGAAAUGGGGUCAAAAGGGUGGGCCUUCUCUAAUGAGCUCUCCCUUUAGCCUCGUAUGCACAGAGAAAAGUCCAUGUGAGGACACAGCAAGAAGGUACAACUACAAGCCAAGGAUAUAGGUCUCACCAGAAACCACAUUGACUGGCACCUUGACUUUGGACUUCCAGCCUCUAGAUCUAUGAGAAAAUAAAUUUCUGUUGUUUAAACCACCUA